rnacentral:lncRNA from 1 species
AACAACUGGAAAGUCUGUCAGAUAAUGACGACAGUGACCUUCAUUUCGGAAAGUGAUGACGCGAAUGCCGACCGGCUUGUAGGGGCAGACAACGGAUGCAUUUAUUUUAUCUGCACCAUGGAGUGAAUCCUUACCACCACUACACCUGGCAGGCUACCUGCUUUGCAGAGUUGCAAAGAAAAAGCCAUAUCUCAGACUGGCCAAUAAAACUAAAAGAUUAAGAUGGGCAAAAGAACACAGACCUGAGCAGGAACCAGUGUGUCCAGUGUGCGGGCAUGUUACAGGCGAACCCACAACGGUUUGGUGCAACGUGGCCCAUCCUGUUCUGCUGAACCGGCAACGGGACCUGUCCUGGAUGGUCGCCCGCGAGAUCCUUCCAGUCAGGGCCGUUAUGCACUCCCAGGGCAUGGCGAGGACACCCGAGUGCCCCCGACCAGACUGCGGCCAAGAUGAGUCGGUGAGGCACUUGCUCUGGGAGUGCAGAGCCGCCAGGGACCUGUGGAAGGAAGCAGGCCCCCUGAUCUCCUCGUGUCUGCCAGCAGGGGACGACCUAACGCCCCAGCACGUGCUGUAUGGGGUGGGCCGAAGGCCUAUUCCAGCGAAGGCCUUCCCCAAGCUCUGACCCACCCUCACGUGUCUGAAGGAUGCACUGUGGUCCUCCCGCAACCUGCUGGUAGCAAAAUGAGUAGAGACCAUCCCCCAGGUAGUGGCCAUGGUAGCCACGGAAGCCCUGGGAUGGUACAGAAGAAAGGAGGCCUCGACCCCCAGGCGUAGGGUCCCCCACAACACCCAAGGUCCCGGCAGCCACUGCCUGACAGUGCUGCGGCGCCUAGGGCGAUGCGCCUAGGGGAGGGAUCUCCUCUGGGCCCCGAAGGACAGGACGGUUAUUGAUUCGGAAGAGCAGGAGGAGGCGAGUUGAUAAGGACUCACCCGUUCCUGUACAAAGGACCGAAGACAGCUUUUUAACAAAGUGACCUUUUAACAUGUUUUCAUGUCUUUAAAAAAUUAUUUUGUACACAUUUUAAAUGGCUUUUACAGAUUGGAUGUUUUACAAGAAAAAGUACUUUUAUUCAUGGUUGUUUCUAUUGUUUUUAAAUAAGCAACAUGUACUUUUUAACAAAUUUAAAUGUAAUAUUCUAAUAUUCUAACUCUAAUUCUCUCUUUCUCUUUCUUUCUUUCUCUCUCUCGGAGGACCUGAGCCCUAGGACCAUGCUUCAGGACUACCUGGCUUGAUGACUCCUUGCUGUCCCCAGUUCACCUGGCCGUGCUGCUGCUCCAGUUCCAACUGUUCUGCCUGCAGCUAUGGAACCCUGACCUGUUCACCGGACGUGCUACCUGUCCCAGACCUGAUGUCCCAGACCUGCUGGAACCCUGACCUAUUCACCGGACGUGCUACCUGUCCCAGACCUGCUGUUUUCAACUCUCUAGAGACAGCAGGAGCGGUAGAGAUACUCUCAAAGAUCGGCUAUGAAAUAGCCAACUGACACUUACUCUUGUGUUACUGACUUGUUGCACCCUCGACAACUACUAUGAUUAUUAUUAUUUGACCAUGCUGGUCAUUUAUGAACAUUUGAACAUCUAGGCCAUGUGCUGUUAUUAUCUCCACCCGGCACAGCCAGAAGAGGACUGGCCACCCCUCAUAGCCUGGUUCCUCUCUAGGUUUCUUCCUAGGUUUUGGCCUUUCUAGGGAGUUUUUCCUAGCCACCAUGCUUCUACACCUGCAUUGCUUGCUGUUUGGGGUUUUAGGCUGGGUUUCUGUACAGCACUUUGAGAUAUCAGCUGAUGUAAGAAGGGCUAUAUAAAUACAUUUGAUUUGAUAUUCAAAUGCUGUUUUUAUGCCUUUAUGCCGUUUUUAUGUGUAUAAAUGUUGUACAAAUAUAAUUGAGCUGUUUUUAAAGGAAGUGUAACAAUAAAACUUUUCCAAAAGAAAAAAAAAGAACACAGAUACUGGACAGAGGAACUCUGCCUAGAAGGCCAGCAUCUUCACUGUUGACAUUGAGACUGGUGUUUUGUGGGUACUAUUUAAUGAAGCUGCCAGUUGAGGACUUGUGAGGAGUCUGUUUGUCAAACUAGACACUCUAAUGUACUUGUCCUCUUGAUCAGUUGUGCACCGGGGCCUCCCACUCCUCUUUCUAUUCUGGUUAGAGCCAGUUUUCACUGUUCUGUGAAGGGAGUAGUACAUCGCAUUGUACGAGAUCUUCAGUUUCUUGGCAAUUUCUCGCAUGGAAUAGCCUUCAUUUCUCAACAAGAAUAGACUGACGAGUUUCAGAAGAAAUUUCUUUGUUUCUAGCCAUUUUGAGCCUGUAAUCGAACCCACAAAUGCUGAUGCUCCAGAUACUCAACUAGUCUAAAGAUGGCCAGUUUUAUUGCUUCUUUAAUCAGACAACAGUUUUCAGCUGUGCUAACACAAUUGCAAAAUAGUUUUCUAAUGAUCAAUUAGCCUUUUAAAAUGACAAACUUGGAUUAGCUAACACAACGUGCCAUUGGAACACAGAAGUGAUGGUUGCUGAUAAUGGGCCUCUGUAUGCAUAUGUAAAUAUUCCAUUACAAGUGAAAAAGUAGUCAUUUACAACAUUAACAAUGUGUACACUGUAUUUCUGAUCAAUUUAAUGUUAUUUUAAUGGACAAAAAAUUAGCUUUUCUUUCAAAAACAAGGACAUUUCUAGGUGACCCCAAACUUUUGAACGGUAGUGUACAUGUAGGUAGAGUUAUUAAAGUGGCUAUGCAUAAAUAAUAACAGAGAGUAGCAGCAUCGUAAAAGGAGGGGAGGGAGGCAAUGCAAAUAGUCUGGGUAG